rnacentral:lncRNA from 10 species
CAGAAUUUCAAAAAUAUUGUGGCACUUAUUCCCGGCCUUCAUAGUCUGUGAUGAGAAAUCUGCUGCAAUUCAAGUUAUUUCUCCUCUACAGGUCAUCUGCUGCUGCUAUUGCAAGAGUUGGCUAUUGUACACCUACUACAGGGUCUGCUACUGAAGUCAUAUACACCGACAGAAGUACCUCCUCACCUGCCACUGCCAGCAUUAUUACUACUGUAGGAGUGCAUCUUAGUGAGCUGCCACCACUGAGGCUGGAGUCAAAAGAAGAAUGGCUAUUCCUUUCUUCUGCAUUACAAUCUUGCAGAAGUACUUCCCAUUGGUAGAACCUACACUGAAAUGCUACUGGCAAGUGUUACAGGCAUGUAAUUAACAAUUGUCUAGGCCUGGUAAUCCAGGGAAGAAUUUAUAAAGAGAAAGAUGUUGUGAAUUUGAACAGGCAAUAUUCAGUAUAAUUACUAUUGUCAUUUUACAUUUGAAGAAACAGAAACACAGAAGUUUAGGGUGCUUUCCCAAAAUGACACAUCAGAAUAUAGAGGCCAGUAUUUGAACUCAGGAAGGUUGACUCCAGACACUAUAUACUUAAUCAAAUGGACAAUAACCUUGUUUUAAAUUUUUCACAAUUAUAAACAAAGCCACAGAGGAUAUAUGUGCAUCUGGGUUUACAUGCUGAUUAUAAUUUUGGUGGUGACCUAAAAAUAAUUAAUGUUGUCAAUCCUUAGAUUUUGUAAAUUACUACCUUAUAGCUGAAGCUACCAUCUAAUUUCACAGCCCAUGUUUCAUUUGUUUUUCAUAAUCAUGUCAAUGCCAGAUUAUGAUGCCAAAGUGACAGAAUUUAACUUUCAAUACAUUGGUAAGCAAGACUGACAGCAUGUAACUUGCAUGUUUUAAUGUAAAAAUGAUAAUACUUAUUCUUCAUCUGCCAUUGCAUUCUUCAUUACUUUAGUGUUUAUAAUGUCAAAACUAUUCUUUUUUAGCAAUGGGUUGUAACCAAAGAUAUUUUCAUGGAUUAGGAAAUUAAUUUAUUUACUUAGUUGAUAAAUGAAGAAUUUAAUUUGACAUCAUGAAAAUGAUUCAGUGAAAGGGAUAUCACACUAUCUUAAAUGUUGCAGGCUAAUGAGAAAACUGUACUGCCAAACACUUCAUAAUAAACGGCACACUUGAGAGCCAAAUGAAGUCCAAAUGACCUCAUCACAAACUAUAGGGACAAACAGUCCUUGGCAGUUUGGAAAAGAAAAGUGGUGAAAUAAUUGAGUAAUAAGAAGGCACACGAUAGUAUUCCUAAAACAAAGCAAAGAAAAACAGAACACAGGAUGUGUCUUUGCAUUUACUGCCAUAUUUAACUUUUGAGCAAAAUUGCAGCAUAGCUCUCUUCAUUGUUCAUAUUAUCUAAUAUGAGUUUAGCAAUACAUUUGUAAGAUAUUAUGAAGAA